rnacentral:lncRNA from 7 species
UGGUUUGGGCCUAAUUGGAGGCUCUGCUGGGCUAUGACCCACAGUUUGGAAUUGGAAUGUGCUUUGUCACUGUAAGCUGACAAGAUUUGGGCCCUUGGUUGAACCUGGCUGCUGAGUCCUGCUCUGCUCUGCUACUGUGGGACAGGCUCCGUGUUUCUCACUACUGUGGAGUGAUAAGGAGAAGGCUUUUCUUGUGGAUACUUUCCAUUUGACACUUGUAAAUAUCUGAGAUUUGAGGCAGGAAAGUAACUACCAUCGGUAAUUGAUUACCUCUGUUAAUCUGCAUGGUGAUCAGGGUCCCUUUAUGCUGAGAUGUCUUUCCACCUCUCAAAGCACCAUGGGCCCUGAAAACACCAGCUUGCUGGCAGGGAGCUGACAGCCUCUGCAAGGGAAGGACUUGGUCUGGAGAUCUGGGAUGCCAUGGGAGUCUUGCUACUGAUCUGGAUGUAGACCAAAGCUGGGAGAAGAAUAGAGUGUCAACAGAGAGACACAAAGCAGUGAAUCUUGUGAAGAUCAAGUGGCAAAAGGCUCUCUUCUAGGAGCAGCUGGGAGCUUUGGGGCAGAAUAAGAGAAUGAGCCGAAGCGUCUCAGUGGGCCACAGCCGUGUGAUGGGAAGGAAAAAUACAGAAGCCAGAGCGCAAGUGAAAUAAUGUCACCCCAAGCCCUCCUUGAAAGUGCAGUGGACUGUAAGGCUUAUCUCAGCUUUGUUGGCAGGGCACUAGCAUCUCGCUUUGAUGUGUCAACGAACUGGAGAGAAGAAAGGACUUUUUGGAAUUCAUUAAUUCAUUCUCCAGAGCACUUAACCAGAGUUUAACUUCUUUCAGAGCCGCUGCUUUGCUCAUAUCCUGCCUUGUCUGUACAGAGAUAGAUGAGGUCAUUGGCACAGAUGGACUUGGACUGCUAAGCUGCUUUUCUCUGGUGUCCUGCCAUGGCAUGGAUGCCUCUUGUAUCACAUAAUAAUUGAGUUUGGAAGAGAUAUCUGGAGGCAAUCUGGUCCAGCCUCACGCUCAGCCAGGGUCUCCUGGGUGGUUGCCCACAACCCAAUCAUAGCUGUCUGGAAAGUGCACAAUGAAUGGUUGGGCUCCGUGGGUAUCAAAUGCUGUGGCAGGAGCACCAGGCACCAAGUCAAAAGACAGAAUGUGGGAUAACUCCUGCCUUCCCUUUCCCAUGAAGAUGGAAAAGCUCCUCCAUGGUGGGAACUGGAGCGAUGGAUGAACAAGGAGGCCUUCCCUCCCCUUCAGAAUGUGGGUUGCCGCCGGAGCUAUUUGGAGAUUGUCGCUGCUUGUUUUGGCCCCGACUUGAGUGCUUUGGCCACCACCUUGCUCAGGUGGCUAUUUUUGGUCUUGCCAGGAAUGGACUUCCUGAAGGGUGAAAUGAUGGAGGAGAGAAAAUAAACUUCAUGUUUUCUGAGCUGUAAAUAAAUAGGAGUUGUUCUUGGCCUUUCCCAAGGUCAGUGG